rfam:Streptomyces caelestis strain NRRL B-24567 P188contig23.1, whole genome shotgun sequence.
CUUGACCGAGCCCAGCCACAGCGGACGCCCCUCGGGACGCUCCCGUCCGUAGGUGUCGAGCAGCGCCUGCGCCUC